UACGUAGGGUGCAAGCGUUAUCCGGAAUUAUUGGGCGUAAAGAGCGCGCAGGCGGUCGUUCAAGUCGCGUGUGAAAGCCCCCCGGCUCAACUGGGGAGGGUCACGCGAUACUGAUCGACUCGAAGGCAGGAGAGGGUAGUGGAAUUCCCGGUGUAGUGGUGAAAUGCGUAGAUAUCGGGAGGAACACCAGUGGCGAAGGCGACUACCUGGCCUGUUCUUGACGCUGAGGCGCGAAAGCUGAGGG
rnacentral:rRNA from 1 species